rnacentral:rRNA from 1 species
UACGGGAUUCUCACCCUCUAUGACGUCCUGUUCCAAGGAACUUAGGCCAGACCAUGCUCGAAGCAUCCUCUACAAAUUACAACUCGGACCGUGAGGCCAGAUUUCAAAUUUGAGCUGUUACCGCUUCACUCGCCGUUACUGAGGUAAUCCCUGUUGGUUUCUUUUCCUCCGCUUAUUGAUAUGGAA